rnacentral:misc_RNA from 1 species
AAGUCGUAACAAGGUUUCCGUAGGUGAACCUGCGGAAGGAUCAUUAACAGAUUCUGCCAGUCAGAUAUCUUACCCCGUGUGAACUGUUCUUUAGACUUGGUGUCCAAGCUCUGGACCACCCUUGAGACCUGUCUCGAGGGUGGUCUAAGACUAGGCACCAUCAUUUUUAUUACCCACUAAAUUUUGAUACCGAGUAAACCACAAAAGACUAGAAAACUUUUAGCAACGGAUCUCUAGGCUCUU